GCUUACACAUGCAGUCGAGGGGCAGCAUUUCAGUUUGCUUGCAAACUGGAGAUGGCGACCGGCGCACGGGUGAGUAACACGUAUCCAACCUGCCGAUAACUCGGGGAUAGCCUUUCGAAAGAAAGAUUAAUACCCGAUGGUAUAAUUAGACCGCAUGGUCUUGUUAUUAAAGAAUUUCGGUUAUCGAUGGGGAUGCGUUCCAUUAGGCAGUUGGUGAGGUAACGGCUCACCAAACCUUCGAUGGAUAGGGGCUCUGAGAGGAAGGUCCCCCACAUUGGAACUGAGACACGGUCCAAACUCCUACGGGAGGCAGCAGUGAGGAAUAUUGGUCAAUGGGCGCAGGCCUGAACCAGCCAAGUAGCGUGAAGGAUGACUGCCCUAUGGGUUGUAAACUUCUUUUAUAUGGGAAUAAAGUUUUCCACGUGUGGAAUUUUGUAUGUACCAUAUGAAUAAGGAUCGGCUAACUCCGUGCCAGCAGCCGCGGUAAUACGGAGGAUCCGAGCGUUAUCCGGAUUUAUUGGGUUUAAAGGGAGCGUAGGUGGACAGUUAAGUCAGUUGUGAAAGUUUGCGGCUCAACCGUAAAAUUGCAGUUGAUACUGGCUGUCUUGAGUACAGUAGAGGUGGGCGGAAUUCGUGGUGUAGCGGUGAAAUGCUUAGAUAUCACGAAGAACUCCGAUUGCGAAGCAGCUCACUGGACUGCAACUGACACUGAUGCUCGAAAGUGUGGGUAUCAAACAGAUUAGAUACCCUGCUAGUCCACACAGUAAACGAUGAAUACUCGCUGUUUGCGAUAUACAGUAAGCGGCCAAGCGAAAGCAUUAAGUAUUCCACCUGGGGGAGUACGCCGGCA
rnacentral:rRNA from 1 species